ACGGAGGGUGCAAGCGUUGUUCGGAAUUACUGGGCGUAAAGGGCGCGUAGGUGGUUGUGUAAGUCAGAUGUGAAAUCCUUAGGCUUAACCUGAGAACUGCAUCUGAUACUGCAUGACUCGAGUACAUCAGAGGGGGACGGAAUUCCUGGUGUAGAGGUGAAAUGCGUAGAUAUCAGGAGGAAUACCGAUGGCGUAGGCAGCUCCCUGGGCUGAUACUGACACUCAUGCGCGAAAGCGUGGGGAGCAAACAG
rnacentral:rRNA from 1 species